rnacentral:rRNA from 1 species
CACGUAGGGUGCGAGCGUUGUCCGGAAUUAUUGGGCGUAAAGAGCUCGUAGGCGGCUUGUUGCGUCUGCUGUGAAAUCCCGGGGCUUAACCCCGGGCGUGCAGUGGAUACGGGCAGGCUGGAGGCAGGCAGGGGAGAAUGGAAUUCCCGGUGUAGCGGUGAAAUGCGCAGAUAUCGGGAGGAACACCGGUGGCGAAGGCGGUUCUCUGGGCCUGUUCUGACGCUGAGGAGCGAAAGCGUGGGGAGCGAACAGG